GGCGGGAAGGGCGUGACACGGCCUGACACCCUCCCCAACAGUCUCCCAGUUCCCGCGCCCUCCCCGGUUCCACCCUCCUUCGCUCAUUCAUCCCUGUCCCAGCCUCAAGGGGCUUCGUCUCUCCUGGGGAAGGGGCUGUUCAGAGCUGGGAUUUCAGACCCCUUCGGCUGGGAGUUCCUCCCGCGGCCUCCAAGGGCGGCCAGGGCACGUCCUGAGGCCGCCCUCCCAUCCCAGCGGACAUCUACGACAAAGUGUCGGGCGACAUGCAGAAGCAAGGCUGUGACUGUGAGUGUCUGGGCGGCGGGCGCAUCUCCCACCAGAGUCAGGACAAGAAGAUUCACGUGUACGGCUAUUCCAUGGCCUAUGGUCCUGCCCAGCACGCCAUUUCAACUGAGAAAAUCAAAGCCAAGUACCCCGACUACGAGGUCACCUGGGCUAACGAUGGCUACUGAGCACUCCCAGCCCGGGGCCUGCUGCCUCCAGCAGCCACUUCAGAGCCCCCGCCUUUGCCUGCACUCCUCUUGCAGGGCUGGCCCUGCCUGCUCCUGCGGCAGCCUCUGGUGACGUGCUGUCCACCAGGCCUUGGAGACAGGCUAGCCUGGCCACAGAAUUAAACGUGUUGCCACA
rnacentral:sRNA from 1 species